UUUGGUGAUGUUAGGAUGUUAAAAUAGACGUACGAAAACGACGCUCUCCAGUGGCAACAGCCCCAACCCACCACAUCUCACUCAUUCCAUGCUUUUCCCUCUCUUCUCCUUGCGCCGGUUCUGCAAAAUGAGGUGACCGGGACUUUGAUGCUUUGAUUUUUGAUCCAUGGUGGCCAUUGACGAGACUGAGGUUCGAAGCAACAUCGUACACGGUGAUUUGAUUGUCUACCGGAGGAAGAAGGUCUACUUAGAGAGGGAGGCUAUUGAGUGAAGAAUUUGGAAGCAUCAGAUCCGAUAGCGCUAGUUUCUUCAUCUUCUGCUGUUAGAGAAAGUUGUGGAAGUUGGCAGCCUUUUGAAUCGUAUGUAUACAUUCAAAUAAUAUUAUUCCCGUGGAUUGGGAUGACGCUCAAAGAGCGAGAGAUAAGAGCUGAGCGGGUAUUCACUCCAUUCUUCUUCCAUUUCAUGACUACUUAACUGGACGAACUAGCAUUCAAAUCUUAAGACUAGACCCCUUCCACCAAUUUUGGGGAGCAGGACGAAACAGCUUCAGCAACUGUUAGAAAGAUAUGGUCCUCGCCAAUCAGAUUAGCAAGAUCGGAUGCAUGGAGUUUGUCAAUCACUACAGGCCCGGGGUUUGCCAAAACUAGCUGUUCAACAACACCACACAGACUUCUGGCACCCAAAAAAGGCUCUUGUUCUUCUUUCCCUGAGAUUGCAAACAUGGAAGUUCUUCAAAAGCCAAGAAUAGAAACAGGAAAAGAGCUUACGUCAAAAUUUGCACCAAGUAACAAUGCCAAGUGAGAUUCGUACAAUAUACUUGGCUAA